GAUUUAAACUGUGCUGCAUUUUAAACCGCAAAGGUUACUAGAGACUAUUUGCGAUCUUGCUUGCUUUAGGAAGAAAAGAACCCUGAACUAUUCAAAGAACCCUUGAGGAAGCUAUUUUCUGAGAGUGCAGCCAUAAUUGGUCUUUAAAUUUGUCAUAUGAAACAUUGAGUUUAAUGUUCCUAAACUAUUCUCUCCAUGGAAAAGCAAUAAGGUAAAGUGGGACAUUUUAGAUUAAUAGCUGGAUUUGAUAUCUUCAGAUAGGUCAUAUAAGAACUUUUAUAUGCACCGAGGCCACAUCUGUUUGCUUGCUAUUGUAGGCACUCAUUAUAGUAGAAACAGUAGCCAUGAUGUUCAGUAGAACUCACUAAAUGUGUUUCGUAACUCAAGACUUUAAAGAAAGAAAAAAAAACAGCAUUAUAUUGAGUCUCCUUUUUCAUACUUAGUGUGUUUUUACACUUGGUGUUUUGGCUACUAUUAGAAAAGUACUGAUUAAUCAUAAUAUUAAAUACCAUAUUCAGUAGCACCGAAGGUAUUUUGCUUGUUUUGUGAGUAAUGUUGUUCUUAGGCCUUUAGUGUGAACACAUCUCUUUUAGCUAAGCCACAUUUAGGAAACAAUAGAAAACUAUGCCAAUCAGUCAAGCAAAGACACAUCAAGAUCAAAUUGCAAGGAUAAACGCUACCCAGUAAAGUCAAAGUUAUUCAUGCUGAAAUAGUAUGUCUUGUGAAAGCGAAAUGAGUUGGAGCUUCCAUUUCAUGUUGCCUUUACUGCGAAUACCUUUUAAUCAUCCUGUCAUCAAAGGGGUGAACUGUGCCAGUGGCAGAGGACAUGGAAUUAAAAUGAAUUUGGUCGGUUAGUGCAGUUAGGGUAUAGAACAGAAGCUGGCAAUGCUUCUGGAGUGCCACAAAUGCUGCCUAUUAAAACACAGUUGAGGCUGUGAAUAUUAGGUACAGGUGUGUUGAUUCUGGCUUAGAACUAAAUAGUGCAAUAGUGCAGGACUCCAGAAAGUGAACUGUCAUGGCGUAAAGCAUGGCAGCACAAACCUAUUCCUGGAGCUCUACUACGCUGAAGAGUAUAGUUCCAGACCUAAUCAAACACACAUGAUCUAGCUAAUCUAGAACUUCGGUAGCAUCUGAUAAUUAGACCCUGAUGUGUUGGUAACAAACGGAGCAAAUUGGUAGAGAUCCCAGAAAGGAAAUGGGCACCCCUUGUGUGGAGCAUGCAUUGAUAUAUUGGCUGCCAGGAAACACUUUUGGCUUUGUUAAGAUGACUUUUUAGGUCAUACAGAGUGCAUGGUGAGUGAGGACACUAAUUCAACUCACAUUUCAGAGCAAUGCCUACUGUAGAAUACCAGUUGUCAGAAUCCUAAGCAAAGAGAACAUCAGAAUUGCCUCUUUUAAGUAAAUUUCCUUUCGCAGUUCAUCUGUGGUCUAAAAAAAAACAAAAAACAUGCUUCCAGCAUGAUUCUAACAGAAGACAGAAGUACAGCUCUGAUGUGUCUUUUAUCCAGUGGCAGCUGGAAGAUUAUUGGCAUUUGGAAGAUUUUACUCCAGUGUUAUUUUAGGCUCUCUUUACCGUGAUUGUUUAUAAUUAUCCUUUCCACGCUGCUGUCUAUUUCUGUGAGUCCAGCUCUCAUUUGAAGCCCUGCCCUGGUGACAGACAGUGUCAUGCAUGCCUGGAGGUAACGUUUGUGCCAAAUAUACAUCAGGCAUCCUGCCUAGCUACCUACACAUAAGCCUGCUGUUAUACAAGUCACUGUAGGGAAUAAGUGUCUAAAUCUGAGCAUUUCACUCCAGCAAUACGGAUUUUCUUUGUCACUCUGUCAGAAUGAUCAUACACAGAGUACAUGUAAAGAAGACAAAAUGCAGUGUGACACACAAUAGAUAGACUUCACAGUGUCGGGCUAUAUGAAUACAUUUUCUAUUUACACAUUCAGUGAAAUGCUCUUUGCCAGAAUAACCCUACUGAUUUUACACUGUCCUUAAAGAUUACAUGAUCACAAGCAUACCUAAUAUUCUCUCUCUAAGCUAUACAUGCUAGUCCUAAGAUACCACUGAUUCUGUCCCCUUCUGCUCUCCAGACCUGCCUGAUCCAUCCUGAUGCCCUACUUCUGGUUGGAGUCUCAUCAUUUUGCUGUGUUUUUCUGGAGGCCAUUUUGAGUGCAGGAUACUGAGCAGCAGUGGGAGGAGAGUCACCAAACCCAUCCAACACAUAAUACUGCUGCAUGCACUGAAACACUGGAAAGUGAUGGAAUAAGCCGGAACUGGUCUUGGUUGACUGAAAGGAUUCACUGAUUGAAAGAGUCAGGAUUCAUGCAUCUGCAAAUACUACUUUCAAAAUACACUGAUGCUUUAUAACCAAGACAGCUUCAUGUUUGUCUUGCAGUUUGCAACUGUGAAGCUCAUCACAGAGACUGAGCCUAAGGAAUGACUUGCAGCAUUUCAAUGACUGAUACUGAAUCGUUAUAGACAUGGGGGAAAAAAUGAAUUCUGUCUAUACAGCACACACAGAGUGUCAAUACAGAAAUAUGAGCUAACGGUUUACAUGCAACAUGGCGCAUGUGCAUUAAUCAGCGUCUGACAAAACCUCAGACACACACUCGAUAACACAACACUGUCCUUGCAUUUGAUUGAUGGCACUGGAUCUAGUUUACAUUUUCUCAAACAUGCAGUCCAAUACCAGCAUAAUGCUUCACACUGUACUCCAGUACAUGCAUGAAUAAAAUUUUAUUAAUGAUGAAUUCAGGCUCCGUAUUUCAUUCACAGAGAGCUAAUGAACAUGCAAUGCAAAAAAACAAGCGACUAUGUCUACCUGUUUAUCUGCAUCACUUUUCCUGUGCAGAUAUCAUAACCUCAUACUACUCAUUACAUCCCCCAAAAAACCAGCCUGUAUCUCUGUAUGCAGACAAACACAGCUACUAAAUAGUAUCAUGCAAGCAUUUCCUGUCUAAAGGAUUUCCUUUCUGCUGUGUCCUGUGUAAGCGAGUGAAUAAAGAAAUGGCU